AUUGAACGCUGGCGGCAUGCCUUACACAUGCAAGUCGAACGGUAACAGGUCUUCGGAUGCUGACGAGUGGCGAACGGGUGAGUAAUACAUCGGAACGUGCCUAGUAGUGGGGGAUAACUACUCGAAAGAGUGGCUAAUACCGCAUGAGAUCUACGGAUGAAAGAAGGGGAUCGCAAGACCUUGUGCUACUAGAGCGGCCGAUGGCAGAUUAGGUAGUUGGUGGGAUAAAAGCUUAACAAGCCGACGAUCUGUAGCUGGUCUGAGAGGACGAUCAGCCACACUGGGACUGAGACACGGCCCAGACUCCUACGGGAGGCAGCAGUGGGGAAUUUUGGACAAUGGGCGCAAGCCUGAUCCAGCAAUGCCGCGGGCAGGAUGAAGGCCUUCGGGUUGUAAACUGCUUUUGUACGGAACGAAAAGCCCUGGGUUAAUACCCUGGGGUCGUGACGGUACCGUAAGAAUAAGCACCGGCUAACUACGUGCCAGCCGCCGCCGUAAUAC
rnacentral:rRNA from 1 species